AAACUCUGUCUCAAAAAAAAAAAAAAAUCCAUAGUGGAAAUAAAAUGUCCUUUGAAGAUCUAACUCUUUGAAAGCCAUUGUGCACUCUUACAUGAAUGUCAUUUUACUUUGGCUUAUUUUUGGCUUCUGAGAUCAUUUUCCCAUUUUCCUCUGAGAUAAGACUGAAGAAGCUUAAUUUUUCAUCUUUCAGAAAAUCAACAUAUAUACAUUGACCUACUGUGCUAAGUAACUGAUAAAAUUGUCUAAAUCAAGUAUCCUCACUCCAUCCAUACAGCAUUUUCAGGCCUCUGUGCCAUUCACUAUGACUGACUUGUAUUUCAUGACUCAGUGUGAUGGGAAGGGAGACGUCCUGAAGAAUGAAAUGGAAAUGAAGGCAGAGCGCUUAUUUCAGACACCCCUUCUCCCAAGGAUGUAUUGCUUUGUCCUGAAAUUGGAAUAACCGACUUUGAAGGAAGAAAGGAAUACAGCACAGAAUUUGUUCUGGGCCACAUCCAUUAGCCAAUAGCCAAGGCAACUUCCUUUAACCAACGUGAUCGUCCAUCAACAGGCAGCACUCCAAAAAGCAUCCAAACAUGAUCUAUGUCAAGACCUCUCAACUAAUACAAGCCUCUGCCUGUGGCAUCACGGAGAAGACAUCCUUAUCAAGAUGGCUCUGUUAGUUCAAGAAUUACUAUAUAUGCAUUGAAUUAAAUCUAUUUCUUCAAAAAAAUAAAAUGACCUUUUUUCUCUG